rnacentral:rRNA from 1 species
CUUUCUUGGAUGAGUUGGAACGGGUGACUAACGCGUAGGUAACCUGCCUUGUAGCGGGGGAUAACUAUUGGAAACGAUAGCUAAUACCGCAUAACAAUGGAUGACCCAUGUCAUUUAUUUGAAAGGGGCAAAUGCUCCACUACAAGAUGGACCUGCGUGUAUUAGCUAGUAGGUGAGGUAACGGCUCACCUAGGCGACGAUACAUAGCCGACCUGAGAGGGUGAUCGGCCACACUGGGAAUGAGACACGGCCCAGACUCCUACGGGAGGCAGCAGUAGGGAAUCUUCGGCAAUGGGGGCAACCCUGACCGAGCAACGCCGCGUGAGUGAAGAAGGUUUUCGGAUCGUAAAGCUCUGUUGUAAGUCAAGAACCGAGUGUGAGACG